UGGGGAAUUUUGGACAAUGGGGGGAACCCUGAUCCAGCCAUGCCGCGUGAGUGAAGAAGGCCUUCGGGUUGUAAAGCUCUUUCGGACAGAAAGAAAGCGCAUCGGCUAAUACUCGAUGUGGAUGACGGUACUGUCAUAAGAAGCACCGGCUAACUACGUGCCAGCAGCCGCGGUAAUACGUAGGGUGCGAGCGUUAAUCGGAAUUACUGGGCGUAAAGCGUGCGCAGGCGGUUUUGAAAGACAGGCGUGAAAUCCCCGGGCUUAACCUGGGAACUGCGCUUGUGACUCCAAGACUAGAGUACGGCAGAGGGGGGUAGAAUUCCACGUGUAGCAGUGAAAUGCGUAGAGAUGUGGAGGAAUACCGAUGGCGAAGGCAGCCCCCUGGGCCAGUACUGACGCU
rnacentral:rRNA from 1 species